UGAAUAUACACUACUACAGUAUAUUAUAUAUGCAACUUGUAAUUCUCGUAAGUGAGAAAAUACAUCGCUUGCAAGAAUGUGCUUACCUAACUUGAUCUCAGCUAUUUUCAUAUGAACUUUACAAAUUUUACAUACUGUGUUACAUAUGUCUUUCUGUUCUCAGGUUUUUAACUGAAAAAACAUGAUACUAUGCAAUUUGUCCUCACCCAGCCGGUGGGUCAGCGGUAUAGUUAUGGCUCACCCUUGGUGUGCUUCGGCGAUGAUCACCUUUGGGGUGCAUUAAGGUGAAGGCCAUGCUGUCACAUGAUCAUGUAACUGUAAUAAGAACUACGGGUGAUAGAAUAUGCAUGAAAACAAUUGGUAACAAAUUGGUAACUGAGCAACAUCUAUGCUGUCAUGUAACAAUAAUGACGAGGUUCAGUCAGAGUCAAGAUGUCAUUGUGUUGUACUGUCAAAGAAAAAGGAUGUUCGCAUGGCAUUGCUACUGUGAAAAAAACUGCAUGCCAGCAACUCAAUAGUACUAAGAUAUACCUCUUCGCCAGUUUAA